UACGAAGGGGGCUAGCGUUGUUCGGAAUUACUGGGCGUAAAGCGUGCGCAGGCGGUCUUCCAAGUCAGUGGUGAAAGCCCAGAGCUCAACUCCGGAACUGCCAUUGAAACUGUGAGACUCGAGUACGAGAGAGGUGAGUGGAAUCCCCAGUGUAGAGGUGAAAUUCGUAGAUAUUGGGAAGAACACCGGUGGCGAAGGCGGCUCACUGGCUCGUAACUGACGCUCAGGCACGACAGCGUGGGGAUCAAACAGG
rnacentral:rRNA from 1 species